UCCCGGGCCUUGGCUAUUUCUCGGCCGAAGUACGCGAGUCCGAGCGCUUCAGGAGGAGCAGAGGGGGAGGCCGCGGCGCUUAGGAGGACAAAAUGGACGAGGAGGUUCUGCCGGAAAUAAGUUCCAGAUGUCGCUAGGUAUGAAGGGCCGUCUCAACCGGUUUCCCACUGCUUGUGUUGGGAUAUGGUGAUGGGGAUACGAUGAUGGCCCCUGUCAAAAUGGGUAAGCCUGACCUCAGAAAGAAAAGAAGGUCAUGCCUGCUGUCAUUGUAACGCAGCGGAGGCCAUGUCGCAGAAAGGAUGGUGUCUAUAUGUACUUUGAAGGACGAGGAGGUUCUGCCGGAAAUAAGUUCCAGACGUCGCUAGGUAUGAAGGGCCGUCUUAACCGGUUUCCCACUGCUUGUGUUGGGAUAUGGUGAUGGGGAUACGGUGAUGGCCCCUGUCAAAAAGGGUAAGCCUGACCUCAGAAAGAAAAGAAGGUCAUGCCUGCUGUCAUUGUAACGCAGCGGAGGCCAUGGCACAGAAAGGAUGGUGUCUAUAUGUACUUUGAAGGACGAGGAGGUUCUGCCGGAAAUAAGUUCCAGAUGUCGCUGGGUAUGAAGGGCCGUCUCAACCGGUUUCCCACUGCUUGUGUUGGGAUAUGGUGAUGGGGAUACGGUGAUGGCCCCUGUCAAAAAGGGUAAGCCUGACCUCAAAAAGAAAAGAAGGUCAUGCCUGCUGUCAUUGUAACGCAGCGGAGGCCAUGGCGCAGAAAGGAUGGUGUCUAUAUGUUCUUUGAAGGACGAGGAGGUUCUGCCGGAAAUAAGUUCCAGACGUCGCUAUGUAUGAAGGGCCGUCUCAACCGGUUUCCCACCGCUUGUGUUGGGAUAUGGUGAUGGGGAUACGGUGAUGGACCCUGUCAAAAAAGGGUAAGCCUGACCUCAAAAAGAAAAGAAGGUCAUGCCUGCUGUCAUUGUAACGCAGCGGAGGCCAUGGCGCAGAAAGGAUGGUGUCUAUAUGUACUUUGAAGGACGAGGAGGUUCUGCCGGAAAUAAGUUCCAGAUGUCGCUAGGUAUGAAGGGCCGUCUCAACCGGUUUCCCAUUGCUUGUGUUGGGAUAUGGUGAUGGGGAUACGGUGAUGGCCCUUGUCAAAAAGGGUAAGCCUGACCUCAGAAAGAAAAGAAGGUCAUGCCUGCUGUCAUUGUAACGCAGCGGAGGCCAUGGCGCAUAAAGGAUGGUGUCUAUAUGUACUUUGAAGGACGAGGAGGUUCUGCCGGAAAUAAGUUCCAGACGUCGCUAGGUAUGAAGGGCCGUCUCAACCGGUUUCCCACCGCUUGUGUUGGGAUAUGGUGAUGGGAUACGGUGAUGGACCCUGUCAAAAAGGGUAAGCCUGACCUCAAAAAGAAAAGAAGGUCAUGCCUGCUGUCAUUGUAACGCAGCGGAGGCCAUGGCGCAGAAAGGAUGGUGUCUAUAUGUACUUUGAAGGACGAGGAGGUUCUGCCGGAAAUAAGUUCCAGAUGUCGCUAGGUAUGAAGGGCCGUCUCAACCGGUUUCCCACUGCUUGUGUUGGGAUAUGGUGAUGGGGAUACGGUGAUGGCCGCUGUCAAAAAGGGUAAGCCUGACCUCAGAAAGAAAAGAAGGUCAUGCCUGCUGUCAUUGUAACGCAGCGGAGGCCAUGGCGCAUAAAGGAUGGUGUCUAUAUGUACUUUGAAGGACGAGGAGGUUCUGCCGGAAAUAAGUUCCAGAUGUCGCUGGGUAUGAAGGGCCGUCUCAACCGGUUUCCCACUGCUUGUGUU